ACGGGGCCCGCACAAGCGUGGAGUAUGUGGUUUAAUUCGACGCAACGCGCAGAACCUUACCUAGACUUGACAUCCCGGGGAUUUUCUGGAAACAGAGAAGUGCUUUAGCAAUAAAGAACCCGGUGACAGGUGCUGCAUGGCUGUCGUCAGCUCGUGUCGUGAGAUGUUGGGUUAAGUCCCGCAACGAGCGCAACCCUCGCCUUUAGUUGCCAGCAUUCAGUUGGGCACUCUAGAGGGACUGCCGGUGUCAAACCGGAGGAAGGUGGGAUGACGUCAAGUCCUCAUGGCCUUUAUGUCUAGGGCUACACACGUACUACAAUGGCCGGUACAAAGGGCAGCCACUCAGCGAUGAGGCGCUAAUCCCAUAAAGCCGGUCUCAGUCCGGAUCGCAGUCUGCAACUCGACUGCGUGAAGUUGGAAUCGCUAGUAAUCGUAGAUCAGCAUGCUACGGUGAAUACGUUCCCGGGCCUU
rnacentral:rRNA from 1 species